rnacentral:rRNA from 1 species
AUGGUGCACCUAUCACAUGGGUCUGAUGUAUUUUGAUGGAACCUUCGUGGGAAUGGAAAAUUCUCAGUGGAUUCCAUGUAUAGAGCGUUAAUCCAGUCUGAUGUGCCAGUUGAUAAUAAUAAGACCUGGAAGAUGAAGAUACCUCUUAAGAAUAAAAUCUUUGCAUGGUAUCUCCGUCUCGGAGUCAUUCUUACUAAAGAUAACCUUAUUAAGAGGAAUUGGCAUGGAAGUCCGCAAUGUGUCUUUUGUCACCAUGAUGAGACAAUAAAACAUUUAUUCUUCCAAUGCAAAUUGGCUCGUUCUAUAUGGUUAGUCAUUCAAAUAGUUUCUGGCUUGUAUCCUCCUUGUAGUGUUGCUAAUGUAUUUGGCAACUAG